CCUACGGGAGGCAGCAGUGAGGAAUAUUGGUCAAUGGGCGCGAGCCUGAACCAGCCAAGUCGCGUGAGGGAUGAAGGUUCUAUGGAUCGUAAACCUCUUUUAUAAGGGAAUAAAGUGUGGGACGUGUCCUAUUUUGUAUGUACCUUAUGAAUAAGGAUCGGCUAACUCCGUGCCAGCAGCCGCGGUAAUACGGAGGAUCCGAGCGUUAUCCGGAUUUAUUGGGGUUAAAGGGUGCGUAGGCGGCAUUUUAAGUCAGCGGUGAAAGUCUGUGGCUCAACCAUAGAAUUGCGGUUGAAACGGGGGGGCUGGAGUAUGUGUGAGGCAGGCGGAAUGCGUGGGGUAGCGGUGAAAUGCUUAGAUAUCACGCAGAACCCCGAUUGCGAAGGCAGCCUGCCAAGCCAUGACUGACGCUGAUGCACGAAAGCGUGGGGAUCAAACAGGAUUAGAUACCCUGGUAGUC
rnacentral:rRNA from 1 species